rnacentral:rRNA from 1 species
UACGUAGGGUGCAAGCGUUGUCCGGAAUUAUUGGGCGUAAAGAGCUCGUAGGCGGUCUGUCGCGUCUGCUGUGAAAACUCAGGGCUUAACCCUGAGCUUGCAGUGGGUACGGGCAGACUAGAAUGCGGUAGGGGAGACUGGAAUUCCUGGUGUAGCGGUGAAAUGCGCAGAUAUCAGGAGGAACACCGGUGGCGAAGGCGGGUCUCUGGGCCGUAACUGACGCUGAGGAGCGAAAGCAUGGGGAGCGAACAGG